GCAUCCUUGGUGUAGUGGUAACACACUCCCUAUAUCUACACUUGCUGUUAAGACGUCUGGGAAGGUGCAGGGUUCGAAUCCCUGAGGAUGCA